UACAGAGGGGGCAAGCGUUAUUCGGAAUUAUUGGGCGUAAAGGGCGCGUAGGCGGCCAGGCAAGUGGAAGGUGAAAUCCCUCGGCUUAACCGAGGAACUGCCCUCCAAACUGCUUGGCUUGAGACCGGGAGAGGUGGGUGGAAUUCCCAGUGUAGCGGUGAAAUGCGUAGAUAUUGGGAGGAACACCAGUGGCGAAGGCGGCUCACUGGACCGGUACUGACGCUGAUGCGCGAAAGCGUGGGGAGCAAACGGG
rnacentral:rRNA from 1 species